rnacentral:tmRNA from 1 species
GGGGCCGUAAAGGUUUCGACGUGGUAGCGAAAACUGACCCGUGAUGCAGGUCGAGAGUGAGUCUCCUCUCGCAAAUCAAAGGCUCAAAACAAUGUAAAUGCGAAUAACAUCGUAAACUUUACUCGUAAGGAAGCUGCAGUAGCAGUAGCCUAAAACACCUCUUAUAGGUUCGAGUGCUUCUAAUUUGACUCCGUUAAGGAUUAGAGGCAAACCCCAACGGAUGCGCUGAUAAGUAAUCUUUGGUGUACUUAUUAGCAAAGACUUUACCAAAGCAUCCCACCGUUCGGGAUAAUGGGCGGUCCCCGCUUCGAGGGUAAAAGAAGCUAAACCUGUGAAUGAGCGGUAAGCGAAUACCUAUUGCGGACGGCAGUUCGAUUCUGCCCGGUUCCACUU